UUUGGAAGUACAGGCCUAUUUAUGUUAGUCAGUUUAAAGUCGUUCACCAUUUAGCGUUAUCCUUGAUACCACUUCAUUGCGAAUUCCUUCUAAUUAAUUCCCAUAAGUAAAAAUAAAAAAACAAACCUUAUACGCCUUAUGGCAAUCAAAAAAUUAAAGGAAAUUCUAUGUCUAAUACAAUGACUGGUUCAGUAAAAUGGUUUAAUGAUAAUAAAGGUUUUGGUUUUAUCACUCCUAAAGACGGCAGCAAGGAUGUUUUUGUUCAUUUCUCUGCAAUUCAGAGUGAUAACUUCAAAUCCUUAAGCGAAGGCCAGGAGGUAUCAUUUACUAUGGAAAAUGGAAUGAAAGGUCCUGCCGCUGGUAAUGUGGUGGCGCUUUAAAGACAACAUAAUCAUUAGUUUCUAUUUUAAAUGCCC
rnacentral:sRNA from 1 species